GUGGGGAAUAUUGGACAAUGGGCGCAAGCCUGAUCCAGCCAUGCCGCGUGAGUGAUGAAGGCCUUAGGGUUGUAAAGCUCUUUUGUCCGGGAAGAUAAUGACUGUACCGGAAGAAUAAGCCCCGGCUAACUUCGUGUCAGCAGCCGCGGUAAUACGAAGGGGGCUAGCGUUGUUCGGAAUCACUGGGCGUAAAGCGCACGUAGGCGGACCAUUAAGUCAGGGGUGAAAGCCUGGAGCUCAACUCCAGAACUGCCUUUGAUACUGAUGGUCUCGAGUAUGGAAGAGGUUGGUGGAACUGCGAGUGUAGAGGUGAAAUUCGUAGAUAUUCGCAAGAACACCGGUGGCGAAGGCGGCCAACUGGUCCAUUACUGACGCUGAGGUGCGAAAGCGUGGGGAGCAAACAGGAUUAGAAACCCGGGUAGUCC
rnacentral:rRNA from 1 species